rnacentral:rRNA from 1 species
UACGGGGGGAGCAAGCGUUGUUCGGAAUUAUUGGGCGUAAAGGGCUCGUAGGCGGUUUGUCGCGUCGGGAGUGAAAACACGGGGCUUAACCCCGUGCCUGCUUCCGAUACGGGCAGACUAGAGGUAUGCAGGGGAGAACGGAAUUCCUGGUGUAGCGGUGAAAUGCGCAGAUAUCAGGAGGAACACCGGUGGCGAAGGCGGUUCUCUGGGCAUUACCUGACGCUGAGGAGCGAAAGUGUGGGGAGCGAACAGG